CAUGCAGUCGACGCGAAGUGGAGCAUCCAUGAGUAGAGUGGCAAACGGGUGAGUAACACGUGGGCGACCUACCUCAGAGUGGGGGAUAACCUUCCGAAAGGAGGGCUAAUACCGCAUGACAUCCCGUGUUUGGAUACACGGAGAUCAAAGCCGGGGAUCGCAAGACCUGGCGCUUGGAGAGGGGCCCGCGUCCGAUUAGCUAGUUGGUGAGGUAACGGCUCACCAAGGCUCCGAUCGGUAUCCGGCCUGAGAGGGCGGACGGACACACUGGAACUGAGACACGGUCCAGACUCCUACGGGAGGCAGCAGUGGGGAAUUGUUCGCAAUGGGCGCAAGCCUGACGACGCAACGCCGCGUGGAGGAUGAAGAAUUUCGGUUCGUAAACUCCUUUCGACCGAGAUGAACACCCCGCAAUUUAAUACGUUGUGGGACUGACAGUAUCGAGAGAAGAAGCCCCGGCUAACUCUGUGCCAGCAGCCGCGGUAAUACAGGGGGGGCAAGCGUUGUUCGGAAUUACUGGGCGUAAAGGGUUCGUAGGUGGCCAACUAAGCCAGAUGUGAAAUCCCUCAGCUUAACUGGGGAACUGCUUCUGAUACUGGUUGGCUUGAGUGCAGGAGAGGAAUGCGGAAUUCCAGGUGUAGCGGUGAAAUGCGUAGAUAUCUGGAGGAACACCGGUGGCGAAUGCGGCAUUCUGGACUGUAACUGACACUGGGGAACGAAAGCCAGGGAGCA
rnacentral:rRNA from 1 species